ACGGGAGGCAGCAGUGAGGAAUAUUGGUCAAUGGGCGAGAGCCUGAACCAGCCAAGUGGCGUGCAGGAUGACGGCCCUAUGGGUUGUAAACUGCUUUUGUGCGGGAAUAACGUGCUCCACGUGUGGGGCAGUGCAUGUACCGUACGAAUAAGGAUCGGCUAACUCCGUGCCAGCAGCCGCGGUAAUACGGAGGAUCCGAGCGUUAUCCGGAUUUAUUGGGUUUAAAGGGAGCGUAGGCGGAAGGUCAAGUCAGCUGUGAAAUGUAGUCGCUCAACGUCUGCACUGCAGUUGAAACUGGCCUCCUUGAGUGCGUAAGAGGCAGGCGGAAUUCGUCGUGUAGCGGUGAAAUGCUUAGAUAUGACGAAGAACUCCGAUUGCGAAGGCAGCCUGCUGGGCCGCAACUGACGCUGAAGCUCGAAGGUGCGGGUAUCAAACAGGAUUAGAUACCCUGGUA
rnacentral:rRNA from 1 species